UCUCAGUUUGCACUGGCAGUCUCGCUAGAGUUCCCGACAUGACUCGCUGGCAACUAGCGACAGGGGUUGCGCUCGUUAUAGGACUUAACCUGACACCUCACGGCACGAGCUGACGACAACCAUGCAGCACCUUGUGACCUGCCCGAAGGAAAGACCGUUUCCGGUCCUGUCAGGCCACAUUUAAGCCCUGGUAAGGUUCCUCGCGUAUCAUCGAAUUAAACCACAUGCUCCACCGCUUGUGCGGGCCCCCGUCAAUUCCUUUGAGUUUCAGGCUUGCGCCCGUACUCCCCAGGUGGGAUACUUAUCACUUUCGCUUAGCCACUCAGGUUGCCCCGAACAGCUAGUAUCCAUCGUUUACGGCGUGGACUAC
rnacentral:misc_RNA from 1 species